AACGAACGCUGGCGGCAUGCCUAACACAUGCAAGUCGAACGAGACCUUCGGGUCUAGUGGCGCACGGGUGCGUAACGCGUGGGAACCUGCCAUUAGGUUCGGAAUAACUCCCCGUAUGGGGUGCUAAUACCGGAUAAUGUCUUCGGACCAAAGAUUUAUCGCGUUUGGAUGGGCCCGCGUUGGAUUAGCUAGUUGGUAGGGUAAAAGCCUACCAAGGCGACGAUCCAUAGCUGGUAGGAGUGGAUGAUCAGCCACACUGGGACUGAGACACGGCCCAGACUCCUACGGGAGGCAGCAGUGGGGAAGAUUGGACAAUGGGCGAAAGCCUGAUACAGCAAUGCCGCGUGAGUGAUGAAGGGCUUAGGGUUGUAAAGCUCUUUUACCCGGGAUGAUAAUGACAGUACCGGGAGAAUAAGCUCCGGCUAACUCCGUG
rnacentral:rRNA from 1 species